AGUGAACGCUGGCGGUAUGCCUAACACAUGCAAGUCGAACGGCAGCACAGUAAUAGCUUGCUCUUACGGUGGGCGAGUGGCGGAUGGGUGAUGAAUACAUCGGAAUCUACUUUUUCGUAGGGGAUAACGUAGGGAAACUUACGCUAAUACCGCAUACUACCUACGGGUGAAAGCAGGGGAUCUUCCGAUCUUGGGCGAUUUAAUGAGCCGUUGUCGGAUUGGCUAGUUGGCGGGGUAAAGGCCCACCAACGGGACGAUCCGUUGCGGGGCUGAGAGGAUGUACAGCGACACUGGAGCUGGACCACGGUCCAGAGUCCUACGGGAGGCCGAAGCGGGGAAUAUUGGCAGAUGGGCGGAAGCCUGAUCCAGCCGUACCGCCUGGGUGCAGAGGGGCUUCGGGUUGUAAAGCCCUUUUGUUGGGAAAGAAAAGCAGCAGGUUAAUCCCACGCUGUUCUGACGGUACCCAAGGAAUAAGCACCGGCUAACUUCGUG
rnacentral:rRNA from 1 species